CACGUAGGGCGCAAGCGUUGUCCGGAAUUAUUGGGCGUAAAGAGCGUGUAGGCGGCUUGGUAGGUCCGCUGUGAAAACUCGAGGCUCAACCUCGAGAUGUCGGCGGAAACCACUUGGACUUAGGAGUCCGGAAGAGGAGAGUGGAAUUCCUGGUGUGAGCGGUGGAAAUGACGCAGAGUAUCAGGAAGAACACCUAUGGCGAAGGCAGCUCUCUGGGACGGUACUGACGCUGAGACGCGAAAGCGUGGGGAGCGAACAGG
rnacentral:rRNA from 1 species